GCUAAGCCCUAAACAUUGAAAGUUACAAAUACAAUACUUUCCGCCAGAGAACUACAAGUGAAAAACUUAAAACUCAAAGGACUUGACGGUGUCCCAUAUCGACCUAGAGGAGCCUGUCCUAUAAUCGAUACCCCCCGCUCCACCCAACCUCAACUAGCAAAAUAUCAGCCUAUAUACCGCCGUCGACAGUUUACCCUAUGAAGGCCCAAUAGUAAACACAAUAACCCUAUAACGCUAAUACGUCAGGUCAAGGUGUAGCAAAUGCUGAGGAAAAGAUUGGCUACAUUUUUUAUUAUAAAAAACACGAAUUGCACUAUGAAAUAAUGCAUGAAGGUGAAUUUAGUAGUAAAACAGAUAAGAGUGUCUGUUUUAACAACGCUCUGGGACGCGUACACACCGCCCGUCACCCUCCUCAACAAAAUAUAAACAACUUUUAUAAACAAAACUACCUAGACUAGAGGAGGU
rnacentral:rRNA from 1 species